CUGAAUCGCAACCUUUACAAUUCUUCCUUAUACUAGAAUCAUAUUUAUUAUAUAAUCUGUGUAAACAUAUUAAAAGCUCAAGUCUCAAUACUUCAUAUCUUUUCUAUUGAUGAUUCAUUUAUUUUAGAAUCAUAUCUAUUCUUAUUUCAGAAUAAAAAUUCUUUAUCCAUUCAACAUUUCAAACUAUACAUAAUUGCCAAUUACAUUUGACAAAACUAUCAAUCAUAGAUUUAUACCAUUUCUAAUUCAAGGAAAUGUAUUCAUUUUGCACAUCGUUCAAUCUUCAUCAUCCGUAUAGCAAGUAAUAUUGCCUAACAUCAUUAACCUGUAAAAAGUUUGUGUUUGUAAGAUUGAGCUCGACAGUCCAGCAAAAUUUAACAGUCUAUCAUGUUUCACAUAACACACAAUUCCAUAUGCACUAUAUUUCAUUUACUAUGCAUAUCCGCAUACAACAUAUAUUCUUUACUAUGCAUAUCCUACAUGCAUCAAUAAUUCCUUACAAAGCAUACAUUCAUACAUUAUACAUUUAUAAUUUAUCGAGUUACAUCAUACAACAUGUGCUAUCACAUAUCACAUAUAAAUUAAGUUUCAUAACCCAAUUAACUUAGUCAUAUUUUGACUUUAACAAUUCAUAAAGCAUAAUAUGUAACUCACCACAUAAUCACAUUUAAUCCACAAACAUAAUAGAACUGAAAAACUUGCCUUGAUUAGAGAUUACCACAAAAGUUAACCUAGAGUUUCUCCACAAUUCCUACAGAAUUAUAUUUACAUGUACACAUAUAUUAGAUAAUUGAAUAUGUUACAAAACAUGCAUGUAUAUUCAUCAAUAAUAAUUAUUAGUUUUAUACAAACUAAUAUUAUUUAUUCUUACUCAAAACGAAUAUUAGUUUAUUUAGAAACUUAAUUCGUUUUAACCUUUUUACACCAAAUAAAGGUCCCUCACAUUUUAGUAUGUAAAUAUUUUACACUUUGAAGCUUCAAUCAUUUAUAUUCCACUUUAGGAAUAUUUUAUGCCUUUUCUCAUUAAUUCGGGAUUUUAACAGCUUAUAAAUAGCUUUUAUAGUAAAAUUCAAUUUACUAUAUUAUUCCUUUAAUAUAAAUAAUUUUUAUAUUAUUAUUUUGCAUGUUCAUGAGUUAACUCGAAUCAUUAUCUCAUAUAUAAAUAUUUUAUCCCGCUAACACAUUCGCUUACUCUUCGUUUUGCAGAUAAUUACAUUUUCACUAUAUAUGAACGUAUUAGCCACACAACCAUGUCAUAUAACUUGUACAGUUAUAUUUUAGAUAUUCACAUUGACCACCUCUUUUCAAAAACAUUUAUUCUUUUAGUCACGGUAAUAUAUCCUUUAUCGCUUUAAUAGAUUUUGACAUGAUUUACUUCAUGAAUAUCUCACAAUUUUAGUUUUAUAAUCCACUCGUAGCUUAAUAUAUGGGUAUUCCAUAUCUCUUAUACCUCACUUAAGUAUUUAAGGUGAAUACAUAAUAUAUCUUAUGUAUUGUUCAUGAUUAUAUAAUAUACGGACAAAUUAUAGAUUUUAAAUUGCUUAAUAUACCUAUUUUUGUAAACUGUUUUGUUAAAACCCAUUAUGUUUCCAAGCAAUACUAAACAACCCCAUAAAACAAUAACAGACCCAUGGCGUGGCCUUGCUUGGUUAAACAGCCUUUUCGAGCUUCCGACGCUCACUUUAUUAUUUUCCAAUUCUCAACUCGUUAAUUCAAAAUCUAUUAAGCUUCGGUUAUGUUAAAGAUUAUAUACCCGUCUAUUUUUACUAGCUUAUAAACUAAUUUCACGGGUACACAAACAAGCUACAAAAAAUGCAUGUCAAACUGCUUGUCGCUUCGUGCUACUGACUGCUACUGCUGCUGCCAUGGGCAGCAGUUCCUUACGCAACAUGGCUUCUGGCUUCAUUACAAAUUCAUAUCUUUUAGCUCAUAACUUCGAUUACAACCAAUUUUGGAUAUAUUGUAGACACCAUAUUAGGCUAUAUUUAGAAAAUAUAAUCCACCUAUUUUGGACAUCAUAGGCAGUCCAAAACAGACUCCAAAAAUGUUUGGUCGCAACUGUUUUUAAUUUUUUUUUCCAGCUUUACCCUCUCUCGCUAAAACAGUCAUAACUUUUUCAUUCCAAAAUAUUUUUGAGCGAUUCUUGAGCCCACGCAAAGCUAAUUUCCGGGACUACAACUUUUAUUCUUUUACCUUUUCCCAAUUCUAAACACAAAAUUCCAGAAAUUCUGUGUAAAGGGACUGACCCGAGUUGGUUUGACAGUUUUGACGCGACUACUUUGAAUGGUCAUAACUCUUUGCUCCGAAGUUGGAAUUAGUCCGUUCCGGAGUCUAUGGAAAGCUUAUUUAGUGUACUAUAACAUACCAAAAGCUAAGAAGUUUCUGGAAACAUUAACUGAUCGAAACAGUGUCCCAAAUAGUACAUCCCGCUGCUAACUUCCAGUCACCAUAACUCCCUCAUCCGAGGUCGGAAUGAGGUCAUUCCAAAGCCUAUGACUUCCUAACUCAGUGCACUACGACUACCCAGAAACUCAAAAUUUUUCAGGCAACAUAGCUAUUCCAGAAUUUGACACUAUAGUCAUUGUUCAUCCAGUUUUCAUUUCUAGACAUGGUUUAAUAAAAUCUUUACCACGGAUUCGUUUUAACUCCGUUUUGGUUCAUUCACAGGAUUACAGCAAAUUUGAAAUACGUUAUAUAUAGUAUAUGAGACUACAUUUAGAAAUUAUAAACUCCCCAUUUCAGAUUCUUUAAGCUGCCCAAAACAGUGUUCUAAAGUAGCUUGUGUCAUACUAAAUUCCAUCUUUUCUUUUUAGCUUAAAAUUUCUUUUCUCUUUAACUUAGUAUGCCCAAACUCUUUAAUUAUCAUCAUAUAUGGUAUAUAUACAUUGCAUUAGCCUUGAAUUCUUUUGAUACUUGGUUUUUAACAAAAAUAGUCCAUAUAAGACUUUUAUCAAACUAGUGGUGUGCACUCCCUUAAAGCUCAGAUUUCUUAAGGUUUGGUUUGUGUUCUAACCUCAUUUUCCACCUUAUUACUCCUCAUAAUUCAAGCUAAACUCCUUGGCUCUAAUUCAGAUCACCACUAACUGGUUACACCAUUAAAAUUCACAUAAACAAUUAGUUUACAUACUAACCCAAAUAUGGUAACUUACUUUGCUUAAUUUCCAUAAAGUUCUCAUAUAUACUUUGUAUUAGAGACUUCAUAACCAGUACAGGUAACCUUAAUUGUAACUGAUAUAUGGUUAACUUUAUUUAAACCAACUACUUUCACAAUUAAACAUAUAAAUUUCAAUGUUAAUACCAAAACUAAAAUAAGAACUCACCUUCUUUGCUUGCUUUUCUAACAUAAGCUCCUUGUUACAACACCCCUGCUACCAACCUUUUGAUGCCAACUCUUAUUAAUUUAAAUUUUAUACACUAUCUUCUUGCCCAAAUUUGAUAAAUUUAAUCGGACCAAAAUUUUGGGUAUGUGGUUCGGCAGUUUAGUAGAGAAAGGAAUGAAUAUUUGAGAUGAAAGGGAAUAACUUAUGCUUGACAAAAUCUUUGAGAGAAGAUGCAAUAGAAUGAAACGGUACAUAGCAUAUCAAUUCCCACUUUCUUUUUUUUAUACUACUCAGGUAAGGCAGAAUAACUUGGUAAGGGAGGCAGGGGAGAGAAUUGGGUUGGGCGGAUGAGGAGAAAGAGAGAGCAAAAGAAUUUGGUUUUCUUUUAUAAAUCUCAAGUCUUGAUCACCACGAAGGUUUCCUUGCUCCCAAAUCAUAAUACUUGGUCACUACAUAAAGAGUUUACCGAAUGUUUUUAGACAUGUAACUCCCUCUCUUUUUUUGCC
rnacentral:lncRNA from 1 species